AGCAGCUUUUACUUUCCAAAAAAAGAGAGAAAAGUCACAAAUAUACACGCCCUACUGGCAAAACACUCUAUUCAUUCACUGAACUUGAAAUAUAAUUAGAAAAAAAUUUCCAGGUUCAGCAAGAAACUGAAUGCAAAACGGACAAUGAUACCUCGGCAAAUAUAAAACAUAACUUUGAAAUUGAGGGUCGAGGAACAAUUUUAAUCCCUCAGCAUUACAGGUGCAAGAAACUAUUUUGCCAAGCCAAGCUUAUGUUAUGGCUUAUUUUUGGCUGAUUUUCUUCCUCAUGUUUUUUGGAUUUUUUGUGGGGAGAAGCUGCUAAACUUCAUUACAGUUUACUGCAACAUCUUGCGGGAGCUUCCAUCUUUCCCAUUGGUUUGAAAGGGGGGGAAAAAUCCCCAAAUCCUUUUAAAUUUGAGAAUGUAGAGUAUGUCUGGCAUGGCUUCAUGGCCACAAAAAGGGUUGUUUCCCAUGGAUUGCAUCUUCCUCAGCUCUGAAGUGAAGGAUACAGACAUUAUCAAUGUUGGUGAUGACUGGAACAGCAAAAUUAUUACCAAGCAACAUCAACAAAUUAUGAGAAACUAGCUUCCCAGGUAGGAAAGUACAUUAUGAAAUACAGAGAGGGAACACAUCUCUGCCUAUGUGCAGCAGAUGCAGAAGACAAUACAGAAGAUGAGGCAGCACUUUUCCAAUACAUUAACCAGCGGCAUCACUACGGUUGGCAUCACCUGGUGCAGUAACUCAUGGUGCCCCACUUUCCCAUAUAUCACUGAAUGUAAUAGCAACAGUUCUGACAUAAAUAACUAGCAAAAA